AGAUUUUGAGUUGGUGACAAUUUAUAAUUUGCAAUUAUAAGAGAUAUUUAUAUAAGAUCUU
rnacentral:tRNA from 1 species